UUCUUCUUAGUCCGUUUGUCUUGAGGGAAAAAUGGCCUUUCCGUUUUUGGGUAUUUCGUUGUUAAAGUUGUUUUUGUUUUAGGGUUUUGAAUUUUUUGGUAGUUUCGUUUGUGGUUGAUGUAGUUGACGGUUCGACACUCAUUUUCCACAAACUAUAUUUCAACUUUGAACAAGCAAUUGAUGUUGGUGCAAUGAAUGAUGACAAGGAUGAGCAUCGGGAUGCCAUUGGACCUGCGCGAAAACAACAUUGACGACAACAUCGUUACAGUUUGCNAAUGAACAAAAAGUUAAUGGAGAACAUCCUGAGAUAUGGUCAAGUUCCCACUUACCAAAAUAAACGUAGCCGCUACACACCACCACACGAAGAGCAAAGUAACAAACACCAUGAAGCACACAAAAAGGGCACUCCAAAAAAAUCAGCACUACAACACAAGACACCACCACUGAUGAAUGCAAGGGAAAGGUCUUGGCAAGACAAGAGCGAGACGAGAACGAGACGAGAGCGAGAGGGCUUCUAGGCACACAGGGGAACAACAAUGCUUGAAGACACAAAGCAAUGGUCGAUUUGGACGAGAGGAGAGCGAGACGAGAGCGAGAGGGCAAGAGGCGAGACACGAGACGAGAGAGGCGAGAAUGAACCUAUUUCAUCAUAACCAGAGACAACGAGAGAGAAAGAGAAAAGAAUACCACGAAACUAAAAAUAUGACUCUUUCACUUCUAUCUUUGCCCUUGCUUCAGAUUUAUAAUCAAUUAAUUUUUUAAAAUAAAAACACCCAAUGACACUUUGCCACGUGUGUAGUGUCAAAG
rnacentral:lncRNA from 1 species